UUGGGUCAAACAGGCAGACUCUCAGAUAUGUUGUUCAUGGGAACAAUGGGGUCGCGUGAAUGCGUUUUGAAACCAUCCGCUAUCUCGAAAGGUCACAAAAUUAGUAGGUUAGUGUUUUCCCCAUUCACUUAUAUUGCCUUUUGGAAGCACCUUUCACCCUCUGUAAAAAGCCAAGGAAAAGGUUUAUCUGUCCGAGCUUGAGGUAUGUUGUAGCACCAACAACCUUCUCUUUGAGCUAAAAGUUUGGAGCUUCAGCCUCUUAAGAUGGCAGAGCGACACCGUUGAACGCUUCCCAAAGGUCAAUAGGUCAAGGAAGGCCUUCCAAAAAGAGUACAGUACCCAAUCUGGAAGUGUCUACCGUUCCACAAUGAAAAGACAGAAAUGCCCCAAAACAAUACUCUAGGC
ensembl:lncRNA